rnacentral:rRNA from 1 species
UACGGGGGGAGCAAGCGUUGUUCGGAUUUACUGGGCGUAAAGGGCGCGUAGGCGGUUUUGUAAGUCUGUCGUGAAAGCCCCGGGCUCAACCUGGGAAUUGCGAUGGAGACUGCAAGGCUUGAAUCUGGCAGAGGGGGGUAGAAUUCCACGUGUAGCAGUGAAAUGCGUAGAGAUGUGGAGGAACACCGAUGGCGAAGGCAGCCCCCUGGGUCAAGAUUGACGCUCAUGCACGAAAGCGUGGGGAGCAAACAGG